UCAAUCAUCGUCCUCACACCCCACUCCUCUCUCAAAACCCUAGAGACCACCGCCACCAAAUCCCACUGCCCUAGUGUGGCGACGCCACUUCCAAUCACCACCAAACUAACACCAUCCACUCUCCUCACUCUCCUCUUUCCAACCGUACCAACCAUUUUCUUCGAAUCAUCACUCAAGUGAUCGAAUCUUAAUUCGAAAAGUUCGGUCAAAAUACAAUUUCACCCAAACUGGCUCAAAUUCACACCCCAUAGUCCCUAUGGCUCCCUUAUCUGGAAUCCCAAGUCAAAAGCCGUCGAAUAUCAGCGGACCACCCUCAAUUCCACAUCUAGGUUGUCUGGUCUAGCUUGUUCGGGAAUUUUUUCUAUUUCAGUGUAUCUCCAUGGUAAGUCGUCUUAUUUCAGUUUUAAAUUUCUGUUUAGAAUAGGUUAGUCUAAUCAUGCAUAUAUUAAUUGCUGCUUGGUCAGUAUCUACUGAUUUGGCUUUGGUUUGUUUUGUUUAGUCAAAUCGAUUAGUUGUACUUUAGGUUUUAUUAGUAAUCAGUAAGUAGUCUGCAUGCAAAUUUAAUCUCAGGUUAAUUGAAGUUUAGUGGUUAAUUGCAUUUAGGCUUUCUUCUUGCAUCCGAGUUUCAUCCUGAUAGUUUUGAUUCUGUUUUUGUUUUUCUGGUUAUUAAUUUCUUGCUUUCUUGGUUGCUGAAAGUUCUUAGAUGGCUAGUCAGUAGUGUUAAUUAGGAUUGUUUUGAGUUAUGGUCAUGCAAUGCUUGGGAAUGGUUGGGAUUUAUUCUAGUUGGAUUUUGUUAAUUGUUUGGCUAAUGUUUAGAGUAAAUCUGACUGGUGAUAGCUGUUAGUUAAUUUUAGUGAUUAAGGGUUUAGUAAUUUUGGGAGGUUAACAAGGUUAAAUUGGACAAAGGCCAAAGGGGAAAGGGCUGCAGUAAUUUUAGGAGUUGGCAUGGGUAGUUUGGGCAUGGAAAAGGGUAAUAUAUUAAGAAUUAGUAAUUACAAGAAAGGGUUAAGGGUAAUACAGGUAUUUGCAGGCUCAAAGAGCAUCCUAGAAGCUCCUAGAAUAGGGAUUUAGUAUACAUUUCAGAAAACUUAGGGAGUAACUUGAGAAACAAGUUAGGAAAGUGAUGUUUAAAGUGAAAAAUGGGCAGGGACUAAAAGAGAAAACCAAAAAUUUGAUCUUUUACCCUAGAGUGGCCUAUAAAUUGAGUCCCUCGUUUCUUUUGAAAGGGUCUUCUUUUUUUUUCAGCCAGGAUUAGCUCCCAAAAUACCCUUUUUAUGUUAAACUUUUAGAUUCCGGUAGCUUCCCAAAUUCAGAAACUACAUUCCGAAAACAAAAGAAUGAAAACAACAAAAAAAUGCAGUAAAAAAUCAAAAGAGCACUAUUCCAUUGAAACUUUAGGACAAUUUCAAUUUCUAGUUGUUAAAUCACACCUUCUAGUUUGAGGUUUGGCCAUAACAAUUUCAGAGGUUUGUUGGUUUGAUUUCGAGUAAGUGUGGGUCUGUUUAAACUGAUUUGGGUUGACUUGUUGUUGGCUGAAAGUUUCAAAGGUUUUUGGUGUUCAUUUUCGAGUUUAUUUGAGUGAUUUUGGUGAUGUCCUGGGUGAUCUCUGUUUUCUUAGUGGGUUUUAAAGUUUUCGGGGUGUUUGAGUUAUUGCUAUUGAUUUCUGCCCAUCAUUGUUGUUCGAAUUGCUUGUUGUUGAUCCUUCUUCUUCAUUGUUUCAUAUUUCCAGGUGCACAGCUUGUAACAUUUCGAUGUAUAUCUGAGCUUGAAGAAUGAAUAAAUAAAAUGCUAUUUGAAUGGUUGUUAUAAUAUUUGUUCAUUUAAAGUAUUUAGUAGUUUAGUUCAUUUGGUUUGUAUGAAUAGACUUGGACUGUACUAAGACUGUUGGAAUUUGCUUGGGUUGUUUGAUUGUGUUUAGUUGGAUCAUGAUGCUAUCAUUUUGUUUGAAAUUAGACUGUCAAGGGAUUUAGAUUAAUUGGAUUGCUUGAGUUAGUUUGGUUAGUGAAGUAAUGCUACAUUCAUGAAAACUAGAAUUGAGACUGAGUUGAAUUCGACGUUUUUUAUUCAUGAGUAUAACCUAAGUCUGUGAGUAUUUGAAGUUUAGAUUCAAUAUUUGGUUUUUCAAAUCAGUGAUAUAGUGUUCUGUUAGAAAUUGGUAGUUACAUGUUCACUUAAUUCAAUUGGGUCUGAUUUGAUCAUGCAUAUAUUAAUUGUUGUGUGAUAUAGUGUUCUGUUAGAAAUUGGUAAUUACAUGUUCACUUAAUUCAAUUGGGGUUGAUGUUUAAAAUCGUUAAGUUUGAGUCCUGUCAUUAUCUCAUUACUCCCUUUAAUUAAUAAUGUAAAUCAAUGUGUUGAUAACCACGGGUUCCUUGAUGGAGACGGGGUUAGAAAUGCGUUUUCAUGAUGCCGUAAUUCUUAUAAAACAAACAAAGAUCAAAACAAAUGAUUCAAAAUUGGAGACAAUCCGCACCAAAUAAAAAUAAAUGAAGGGCCCUCAGUAAUUGGUUAUUAAAAAUGAUUAGAAUUUGGAAGGGCCGUCCAGAGAAUUUCAACGGCCUUUCCCGAAAAAUAUUGCGUUAGAACCUUCAAGUGUGAUUUAAUUAAAUUACUUCCUUAAAUUCGGGUGCACAUUGAUGCGACCCAAAUUCAAAUCACGACGAAAUCGAAAUGUGUUGACGAACACGGGUGCCUUGAUGAUGACGUGGCCAGAAACGCGUUUUCA
rnacentral:lncRNA from 1 species